rnacentral:rRNA from 1 species
UACAGAGGGGGCAAGCGUUAUUCGGAAUUAUUGGGCGUAAAGGGCGCGUAGGCGGCCUGGCAAGUGGAAGGUGAAAUCCCUCGGCUUAACCGAGGAACUGCCUCCCAAACUGCCUGGCUUGAGACCAGGAGAGGUGAGUGGAAUUCCCAGUGUAGCGGUGAAAUGCGUAGAUAUUGGGAGGAACACCAGUGGCGAAGGCGGCUCACUGGACUGGUACUGACGCUGAGGCGCGAAAGCGUGGGGAGCAAACGG